AUCAACGCUGGCGGCGUGCCUAACACAUGCAAGUCGAACGAGAAGUUGGAGCAAUCCAUGAGUACAGUGGCGACCGGGUGAGUAAACACGUGACCAACCUGCCCCUCGAGGUGGGGAAUAAACCUCCGGGAAACCGGAGCUAUAAUACCGCAUAACAUCUUCGGUUCGCCGGAACUGAAGAUCAAAAGCAGCAAUGCGCCUGGGAGGGAGGGGGUCGCGGGCUGAUUAGCUAGUUUGGCAGGGUAUGGCCUACCAAGGCAAAAGAUCGGUAUCCGGCCUGAGAGAGGGCGCCACGGACACACUGGAACUUGAAACACGGUCCAGACUCCUACGGGAGGCAGCAGUGGGGGAAAUUUUGCCGCAAUGGGGGAAAACCCUGACGCAGCAACGGCCGCGUGGAGGAUGAAGUCCCUUGGGGACGUAAACUCCUUUCCGAACCCGGGACGAUACUGACGGUAACGGGUGGAAGAAGCACCGGCUAACUUCUGUGCCAGCAGCCGCGGUAAUACAGAGGGGUGCGAGCGUUGUUUCGGAAUUAUUGGGCGUAAAGGGCGCGUAGGCGGUGCGGUUAAGUUCACCUGUGAAAUCUCCUGGCUCAACCUGGGAGCUUGCCAGGCCGAAACUGGCCGUGCUGGAGUGUGGGAGAGGUGCGUGGAAUUCCCGGUGUAGCGGUGAAAUGCGCAGAUAUCGGGGAGGAACACCUGUUGGCGAAAAGCGGCGCACUGGACCACAACUGACGCUGAGGGCGCGGGAAAAGCUAGGGGAGCAAACAGGAUUAGAUACCCCUGGUAGUCCUAGCCCUAAACUAUGGAUGCUUGCUGUGAUGGGUACCCAAUCCCAUCGUGGCGCAGCUAACGCGAUAAAGCAUCCCGCCUGGGGGAGUACGGUCGCAGGGCUGAAACUCAAAGGGAAAUUGAACGGGGGGCCCGCACAAGCCGGUGGAGCCAUGUUGGUUCAAUUCGACGCAACGCGAAGAAACCUUACCUGGGCUCGAAAGCGCAGUGGAAUGAGGGUGGAAAAACAUCUCAGCCCGCAAGGGCCGCUGCGGAGGUGCUGCAUGGCUGUCGUCAGCUUCGUGUCGUGAGAUGUUGGGUUUAAGUCCCGCCAACGAGCGCAAACCCUUAUCGUUAGUUGCCAUCGCGGGUCAAGCCGGACCACUCUAAGCGAAAACCCGCCUCGGAUAAACGGGGAGGAAGGUGGGGAUGACGUCAAGUCCUCAUGGCCUUUAUGUUCCAGGGGCCCUACACACCGUGCUACAAAAUGGCCGGGUACAAAACCGUCCGCAAACCCGCGAGGGGGAGCUAAUCGGAAAAAAGCACGGCCUCAGUUUCGGAUUGGAGUCUGCAACCCGACUCCAUGAAGCUGGAAUCGCUAGUAAUAUCGCGGAUCAGAAACGCCGCGGGUGAAUUACGUUCCCGGGGCCUUGUACACACCGCCCGCCGUCACAUCACGAAAGUGGACUGCACUAGAAGCCGGUGUGCCAACCGCAAGGAGGCAGCCGUCCAAGGUAUGGUUCAUGAUUGGGGUG
rnacentral:rRNA from 1 species